rnacentral:rRNA from 1 species
CUAAGAAUAUUCCGCAAUGGAGGAAACUCUGACGGAGCGACGCCGCGUGGAUGAUGAAGGUCGGAAGAUUGUAAAAUCCUUUUAUGACUGAGGAAUAAGCUGGGUGAGAGAAACGCCUGGUGGUGACUGUAGGUCAUGAAUAAGCAACGGCUAAUUACGUGCCAGCAGCCGCGGUAAUACGGAGGAUGCGAGCGUUAUCCGGAUUUAUUGGGUUUAAAGGGUGCGCAGGCGGCGCGCCAAGUCAGCGGUCAAAGUUCCGGGCUCAACCCGGUGUCGCCGUUGAAACUGGCGUGCUCGAGUGCGUGCGAGGAAGGCGGAAUGCGUUGUGUAGCGGUGAAAUGCAUAGAUAUGACGCAGAACUCCGAUUGCGAAGGCAGCUUUCCAGCGCGCUACUGACGCUGAGGCACGAAAGCGU